UAUGUGAUCGUCUCUCGCAUAUCAAUAAGCGGAGGAAAAGAAACUAACAAGGAUUCCCCUAGUAACGGCGAGUGAAGCGGGAAGAGCUCAAAUUUGAAAUCUUAAAGGGUUUCCCUUUACGAAUUGUAGUUUAAAGAAGUGUUUUCUGUUGAGGUUUUGGUAAAAGUUCUUUGGAAUAGGACAUCAUAGAGGGUGAGAAUCCCGUAUUUGACCUUUACUUUCAACUUUGUGAUACACUUUCAAAGAGUCGGAUUGUUUGGGAAUGCAGUCCAAAAUGGGUGGUAAAUUUCAUCUAAAGCUAAAUAUUGGCGAGAGACCGAUAGCGAACAAGUACCGUGAGGGAAAGAUGAAAAGAACUUUGAAAAGAGAGUUAAACAGUACGUGAAAUUGUCAAAAGGGAAGCGUUUGACACCAGUGUUGUUUUUCUGAAAAUCAAUUAAAGAACUGUUUAUGCUAAGCUGUUUAGACUUUAUCAGCUAAUCUGUUUAGUUUUGAGCUUCUCUUUAAUGCACUUUUCAGUUAACAAGUCAACAUCAAUUUCUUUUGCUGUAAAAAAGCUUGAGGAAGGUGGCUUGAGAUUCGUCUUAAGUGUUUAUAGCCUCUUGCCUAUGCAGUCGGAGAGAUUGAGGUCUGCAGCGUAGAUCCUUCGGGGCUAAAUGCAUUUGUGCUAAGUUAUAACAUUUUAUAGACAACUUGUUGACUAUGAUUUGUCUUGUAGCUUACUCGCUUAUGUUAUUUUACCUACGCUUAGGAUGUUGAGUAGCGACAUACGCAC
rnacentral:rRNA from 1 species